AGGACUCAGAUACUAAGCCCUAACCCAUAUGGGUCAAUCAAUUUACCAAAUUUUCGUUUCUAAAAUUGAUCCCUACCCCGUUCCCUACUUUGCCCUCCGAACUCUUCACUUCCUCUGCGAUUCCGUGGUUUCGAUCUAUAGUUUUGGAGCUUAAGGGGAUACCACCAGUUAGUAAAUUGUUGAAUAAUUCUGAUGCACAGGUGACUGCACUUUGCAAGAAACUUGCCACGUGGUGGCCAUGGGUGAGGCAAAUUUUUGCUAUUGGAUAUGCCACCUUCAUGAAGGAAGAAGAUUAUUAAGGAGCAAAGGUGGGGACAGAACCUUGCGAGGCAAACAUUUGCAUUCAAUGGAGGUUCAGAUGCGGAGGGCUCAGUCAUAGAAGGCAGUUCAAAUGGGGUAAAGGGCCUGGUUUAGGAUUGCAAUGGCAUAUUUAGCUUUAUGUUUAUAUUUGUUUGACAAAUUUAGGUGUUUUGUGUUUACGAUGAUUUUUAAUUGCAUGAACUCGAUUUUGAAUUUUAGAUUUUAA